GAGAGUUUGGAUCCUGGCUCAGGAUUAACGCUGGCGGCAUGCCUAAUACAUGCAAGUCGAUCGGAUGUAGCAAUACAUUAGAGGCGAACGGGUGAGUAACACGUAUCCAAUCUGCCUUAUAGUGGGGGAUAACUAGUCGAAAGAUUAGCUAAUACCGCAUAACAAGUUACCUAUCGCAUGAGAAUAACUUUAAAGGAGCAACUGCUUCGCUAUAAGAUGAGGGUGCGGCAUAUCAGCUAGUUGGUGAGGGUAAUGGCCCACCAAGGCGAUGACGUGUAGUUAUGCUGAGAGGUAGAAUAACCACAAUGGGACUGAGACACGGCCCAUACUCCUACGGGAGGCAGCAGUAGGGAAUUUUUCACAAUGGACGAAAGUCUGAUGGAGCAAUGCCGCGUGAACGAUGAAGGUCUUUUUAGAUUGUAAAGUUCUUUUAUUUGGGAAGAACAGUUAAUAGAGUGGAAAGCUAUUAAUUUGACUGUACCAUUUGAAUAAGUAACGACUAACUAUGUGCCAGCAGUCGCGGUAAUACAUAGGUUGCAAGCGUUAUCCGGAUUUAUUGGGCGUAAAACAAGCGCAGGCGGAUUAGAAAGUCUGGUGUUAAAAGCAAUUGCUUAACGAUUGUAUGCAUUGGAAACUUCUAGUCUAGAGUUUGGUAGAGAGUCCUGGAACUCCAUGUGGAGCGGUGAAAUGCGUAGAUAUAUGGAAGAACACCAGAGGCGAAGGCGAGGACUUGGGCCAAUACUGACGCUUAGGCUUGAAAGUGUGGGGAGCAAAUAGGAUUAGAUACCCUAGUAGUCCACACUGUAAACGAUGGAUGUUAAGUGUCGGAGCGAAUACUUCGGUGCUGCAGUUAACACAUUAAACAUCCUGCCUGAGUAGUACAUUCGCAAGAAUGAAACUCAAACGGAAUUGACGGGGACCCGCACAAGUGGUGGAGCAUGUUGCUUAAUUCGACGGUACACGAAAAACCUUACCUAGACUUGACAUCUUGGGCGAAGCUAUAGAAAUAUAGUGGAGGUUAACCCAAUGACAGGUGGUGCAUGGUUGUCGUCAGCUCGUGUCGUGAGAUGUUGGGUUAAGUCCCGCAACGAGCGCAACCCUUAUCGUUAGUUACUUUGUCUAACGAGACUGCCAACGUAAGUUGGAGGAAGGUGGGGAUGACGUCAAAUCAUCAUGCCCCUUAUGUCUAGGGCUGCAAACGUGCUACAAUGGCCAAUACAAACAGUUGCAAAUCCGUAAGGUGGAGCUAAUCUGUAAAGUUGGUCUCAGUUCGGAUUGAGGGCUGCAAUUCGCCCUCAUGAAGUCGGAAUCACUAGUAAUCGCGAAUCAGCCAUGUCGCGGUGAAUACGUUCUCGGGUCUUGUACACACCGCCCGUCAAACUAUGAGAGCUGGUAAUAUCUAAAACCGUGUUGCUAACCGCAAGGAAGCGCAUGUCUAGGGUAGGGCCGGUGAUUGGAGUUAAGUCGUAACAAGGUACCCCUACGAGAACGUGGGGGUGGAUUACCUCCUUUCUAUGGAGUAUAUUAAUACACUAACACGAUAUACACCUGUUACAUAUAACGGUGAAACAAUUAAAACCCAGCAAGACAAGUUAAACCCAUUAAAGCAAAUUUAUAACUUAAAAAUUGUUGGUCGGAUUCUAUUCAGUUCUCAAGCAGCAUUUAAAAAAAUGUUAUUAAUUUCUUUUAGGCUUUUAAAAAUUAAUAACACUUUAAGUGAUUCUUUCAAAAUCAGAGAAGAGUAGAUUUCUUUGAUGAGAUAAACAAAAAAUCAUUGAUGCAUAAAAAUGUAAUCAAUGAUUUUUUUUAUUACUUUUACCGUCGAAUUGUUAAAUUUUUUAAUUUGGCUUCACGAUUUAAAAAUAUUCUUUAUACGAAUAGUAGGGAGUAACUAGGUUGUUAAAUUUGCUUUCUAGAACAAAAAUAAAAAUAUAGUUUCCUCUGCAAGCAUUAUUAUUUUCUAACUUAAGUUUUUUAUUCUUGCUCGCCUAAAAAAAUCUAAUAAAAAAGAUUUUUUAUAAAAGUAUUGUUAAAACUGAUUUGUUGUGCUAUAAUCUAUAAGGCUUAUAUAGCUACAUUGUUCUUUGAAAACUGAAUACGACAAAUCUUUCUAGUCCGAAAUUUGAUUAAAGUAUCAAAUCAAAUUUCAAAUAUAGAUUCAAUAAAAAUAGCU
rnacentral:rRNA from 1 species